UGGGGAAUAUUGCACAAUGGGCGAAGGCCUGAUGCAGCGACGCCGCGUGAGGGAUGACGGCCUUCGGGUUGUAAACCUCUUUCAGCAGGGAAGAAGCGAAAGUGACGGUACCUGCAGAAGAAGCGCCGGCUAACUACGUGCCAGCAGCCGCGGUAAUACGUAGGGCGCAAGCGUUGUCCGGAAUUAUUGGGCGUAAAGAGCUCGUAGGCGGUUAGUCGCGUCUGCUGUGAAAACUCGAGGCUCAACCUCGGGCUUGCAGUGGGUACGGGCUGACUAGAGUGCGGUAGGGGUGACUGGAAUUCCUGGUGUAGCGGUGGAAUGCGCAGAUAUCAGGAGGAACACCGAUGGCGAGGGCAGGUCACUGGGCCGCAACUGACGCUGAGGAGCGAAAGCAUGGGGAGCGAACAGGAUUAGAUACCCUGGUAGUCCAUGCCGUAAACGUUGGGCACUAGGUGUGGGGUCCAUUCCACGGAUUCCGUGCCGCAGCAAACGCAUUAAGUGCCCCGCCUGGGGAGUACGGCCGCAAGGCUAAAACUCAAAUGAAUUGAC
rnacentral:rRNA from 1 species